rnacentral:tRNA from 1 species
GCCGGGGUGGCUCAGCCUGGUGGAGCGACGGACUCAUAAUCCGUAGGUCAUGGGUUCAAAGCCCAUCCCCGGCA